rnacentral:lncRNA from 1 species
AGUUGAUGUGUCAUUGCUCAGAAAAUAUCUGUUGAGUAAAUUUCUUAAUGCGCCAAGGUUGGUCUGUGUCACUGGGCAUUAAACAUGGAGUGAAAUGUCCCCACCUAUUAUAAAGGAACCAUAGAAC